rnacentral:rRNA from 1 species
GACGAACGCUGGCGGCGUGCUUAACACAUGCAAGUCGAACGGAAAGGCCUGCUUUCCCUUGUGGAUUGCGGGUACUCGAGUGGCGAACGGGUGAGUAACACGUGAGUGAUCUGCCCCCAACUUGGGUAUAAGCCUGGGAAACUGGGUCUAAUUCCCGAUAGGACUGCAGGGUGGUGCCUGUGGUGGAAAACGAUUUUCUAGUGGUUGGGGAUGAGCUCGCGGCCUAUCAGCUUGUUGGUGGGGUAAUGGCCUACCAAGGCGGCGACGGGUAGCCGGCCUGAGAGGGUGGACGGCCACAGUGGGACUGAGAUACGGCCCAGACUCCUACGGGAGGCAGCAGUGGGGAAUAGUGCACAAUGGGCGGAAGCCUGAUGCAGCGACGCCGCGUGGGGGAUGACGGCCUUCGGGUGGUAAACUCCUUUCGACCGCGAGGAAGCCACCUGGUUGGAAGGGUGGUGACGGUAGUGGUAGAAGAAGCACCGGCUAACUACGUG